GAUGAACGCUGGCGGCGUGCCUAAUACAUGCAAGUCGAGCGAACUUUUGGGAGCUUGCUCCCAAAAGUUAGCGGCGGACGGGUGAGUAACACGUGGGUAACCUGCCUGUAAGACUGGGAUAACUUCGGGAAACCGGAGCUAAUACCGGAUAACAUUGAAGACUACAUGGCCUUCAAUUAAAAGGUGGCUUUUAGCUACCACUUACAGAUGGACCCGCGGCGGUUUAGCUAGUUGGUGAGGAAACGGCUCAUCACGGCGACGAUGCGUAACCGACCUGAGAGGGUGAGCGGCCACACUGAGAGUGAGACCGGGCCCAGACUCCUUCGGGAGGCGGCAGUAGGGCAUCAUCCGCAAGGGACGAAAGUCUGACGGAGCAACGCCGCGUGAGCAAAGAAGGCCUUCGGGUCGUAAAGCUCUGUUGUUAGGGAAGAACAAGUAUCGUUCGAAUAGGGCGGUACCUUGACGGUACCUAACCAGAAAGCCACGGCUAACUACGUG
rnacentral:rRNA from 1 species